rnacentral:tRNA from 1 species
AGAAACUUAAGUUAAUACUAAACCCGGGACCUUCAAAGCCCCAAAUAUGAGCCACAGACCCUCCUAGUUUCUG